UACGAGUGCCCCAAGCGUUAUCCGGAAUCAUUGGGCGUAAAGGGUGUGUAGGUUGUUUUGUUAGUCUUCUGUCAAAUUCUUCGGCUCAACCGGGGGUCCGCAGAGGAAACGGCAAAACUGGAGGGUGUGAGAGGUGAAUGGAACUCAUGGUGUAGGGGUGAAAUCCGUUGAUAUCAUGGGGAACACCAAAUGCGAAGGCAAUUCACUGGCACAUUCCUGACACUGAAACACGAAAGCGUGGGUAGCGAAUGGG
rnacentral:rRNA from 1 species